GCCGGGUGCGGUGGCAUGUGCCUGUAAUCCAAGUCACUGGGAGGCUGAGGUUGGUGGAUCAAGUGAGCUGAGGAGCUCUGGGCUGCAGCACACUAUGUUGAACGGGUGUCCACGCUAAGUUCGCUAUCGAUAUGGUGUUCCCGGGGGAGCCCGGGACCACCAGGUUGUCUAAGGAGGGGUAAACCGGCCCAGGUCGGAAACGAAGCAGGUCAAAUCCCCCGUGCUGUCCAGUAGUUGGAUAAUACCUGUGAGUAGAUGCUGCAGUGCACCCUUGGCAAAACAUCGAGACCUAAUCUUUU
ensembl:misc_RNA Metazoa_SRP Metazoan signal recognition particle RNA